GUCAGUCCUCCGAGGCCCGAGCUCCCGCUUUCCUGCUCGUAGCAUAACGUGAAGCUCCCUCCUGCCGCCUUAGUUAUUGCAAUUAUUACGCGCCAAUAUUAGUAUUAUGUGUCGUGAUCGUUGAUUGUAAGACUCGGUGGUGCAAACAUGGCAGUGACAACACACCAGGUUUUGGAAAUCGACUUGCAGAUGGCGGCUUCUUCCUCCUAGCCCGGCGAUGUGGAGAGCAAGACAGUUUCAUGAGCCCAGAAGGAGUGUGAGCGGGAGUUAGAAGGACGGAAGUAGCAACAGUGACAAUAGACGACGUCGAGGAAGCAGUGAGGUCUGGAGGUGGGUUGUGUCCUUGCGGUCCUCACUGACAUCAGAGAGUCCACCACUGGGGAUGUGGACCUGUAAUAUUGAGUGUGUAGUGGUGGGAAAUCUCAACAUGCUUCCUGCCGCGCUGGGAGUCUCCGCUGAGGCUAGUGUUGACAUGAUGGGCACAUUGAUGCAACUGUAGCAUUAACGUGUUAUGCUUUCAUACUUGACAACAACACGUUGUUGAUAAUUAAAUAGAUGAUCUUGUGUUCUUAGGUGUGUUUAAUAGUCUAUGACACUCAACCUUUAACUUCAACUGGUGUAGUGUUGGUGCAAUUGAACAUACAUUUACUGUAAGAAAAAGAGAGAAACAAAAACGUUAAUUUUAACAGUAAACUUUGACAUACACUGACUUACUGGAAAAGGUUGCAAAUAUAAACUAUACAAGAUAAGUAAAAGGCCAACAAAACUGAAGUAAUCAUGAAGAAAGCUUGAAAUUUAUAGUGAUCAAUUUAAUUAAGUCUGAUAUAUUUAAGAACAGUGGUAUUCAACAAUAAAUAGUGAA